rnacentral:rRNA from 1 species
AUGUCGAUAGCUAACCACUUAUUUCAAGCGGUGAACACAAUCUCCCGAAUCCAGCUUAUAAUGUUACCUCGAUACGGGCCGAAUGUCAAAUUUAUCAAUUUUGCCCUUCAACACACCAUCUUUCUGAACAUAUCUUUGCUUCAGUACCGCAAGAUCGCUGAGGAGUGGGGUGCAAUACAAGCACCGGCAACAGCAGCAGAUCACACGGCAAAUAUGAUCGAGAAGAACACUGAUCAGCCGGCAGGAGCACGCCGGAAGACCUCCACACGCACGAGGCCUCCCUUCUCUUCCCCCCUGCGUCGGCGGACCGCCGAAUUUGCAGAUCUGCGGUGCUUCAUUGCGGGCUGCCGGAUUUGGCUUUUUUCCGGCCGCCGGUUGCUGCCACAGGCGAUGGAGUGGUCGGGGAGCCUCUCCCGCAGUCCAGGCAAGGACGCAUUGCCGCAUGCAGGCGCGGGUUCGUCCGCCCGCCACCGCCGAAGGUUUGCGGGCAUGGACUCGUCCGGCCGUCCACCGGGCUCGGUGCUCGCGCAACGUCUUUGUGGCCUGCCGAUGCCGCUCAUACAGCGCGACAACUGCCCGCGCCAAGUGCUACGGCUCACUUCUGGCACGCCGAAGCACCCCGGAUGGGUGUUCUACAAAUGCGAAAACGACGGGCGGGAGGGAAAAAAAAAGCCUCCCUUCGCCACCGCGAAGCAUGGAUCUGGGUUGGUUUUUGGGCGGGCAAAAGACAGGUCGCCAUGGCCUAUGCCACCGCGAAGCAGGGAAGUCCUUGGUCGUGUAAACAGGCGAGGAGAUGUCCAUGGCCUUCAGUGGACCCAAGCGGUGGCGAUCUCCCAUGUUCUACUUUUCUUCGUUGUCAGCGACGGUCGUGGAUAUGCCGCCUUCGCCGUCGUUGCGUCGAGUGCGACGAAACAACCAGGAGGUCCAAGUUCCAUCCCCCUGAGGCCAACUCCAUCGUGCGACCCUAUCUUGUCCGGCCCCGUCUGUUUGGGGCAAAACAGACGAACCAGGCGGCCCAGCGCGCGAUGGCCCAGACCCGUCUGGUCCGUUUUGUGUCCUGACCGACCCAUUUCGAGCGCAAACUUGCGCCGGGUUUGGGUCGCGGCAGACAGCAAACGGACGCUUCGAGCGUACGCGUCGGGGCUGCAUGGCAGGCAGCCACCUACCUCCCACCCGCCAACAUUAAUGCGCACGGGCGGGUGGCCCCAUCUGUCAUCCGCACAGCUCCGGGUCGUCGUCCUUCUGAAAUGGGAAGCCGUGGACCGGUCGUCGUCCACACUUCCCACUCCGGCCCCUCUCUGCCCCCUCGAAACCCGGCAAGCUCAAAACCCUAACUCCCCGUCGUCGACCUCGCCGGUCGGCCGCACCAUGGGCCUUUGGAACUACGGCCGCAAGGGGAAGCACGACCGUGAGGCCGGCUCCUCCUCGGAUCGCCGCCGCGGAUCCGUGAAGAAGGAGGAGCCCGAGUCACCAUUGCGCUCCUCCGUCGAGCCCCCGCGCCGGCUCCCUUCACCAUUGGCCCUAGGUCGGCCGGCGAGCGCGACCGGUAGUACAUCGCCGCGGACGUGUGCCGGAGUGAGCGGCCGUGCCCGGCGCGAUGAGAUUGAGCGCCGCCGCCUCCUCCUCCCCGACGACCUGUACUACGACCACAGGUACGCCCCCAACUCCACGCUGUGGGACACAUGGCUCCAGGACGAGCACGACACGCGCCGCGCGUCGUACUUCGCCGGCACCGUAUCGGGGCCGCGGCGGCCACGUGCAGAGGCGCGCGGGUGUACGCGGGUUCGCGGCCUGAGGCCCACGCCGUCGCCUUCCCCGUCUCCGUCACCACCUCCACCUCCCCGCAUGACAGCGGAGGAGGAGGCUCGCCUCGUGCAGCGUGUCAUGGAGGACUCCAUGAACACGCAUGACGAGCGGCAAUGGGACGGCCUGGAGGAGGCCAUGGCCCUCUCUGCCGCCGGCGACGUCGCCUUCCCGGAGCUGCAGCUGGCGGCCGUGACGGAGGACGUGAUGCAGGAGGAGAUGAUGGCCGCAUUUCAGGGGCUGCUGGGCCAGGGGUGGGGCUGGUCCUGCACUGCUCCAGAGAUGGCCGCCCGCGUGGGCGUGAACUGGUGCGCCACUUCCCCGCGGUCACCGGAGCGGGAGGCCUCGCCACGGGAGGAGGUGGUGGAGGCACCUCCGGCCUUCCAGGCCGCCCUCGUCUACCAUGCACCGCCGGCCCACCUGUGGACGCCGCCGGACUACGUCGACCUCGUCAGCGACGACGACGACACCGGCGAACAGAACCAGGGCAGUAAAGCUCGCCAAAAGGAUAUGAGACACAUGCCGAUGUAUUUCCAUUUGCAGAUUAAUCGGCAGCUUCAGACGCGGACACAGCUUGUGCUCCCAGUUCCUUUGUUGACAAGUUUCCACCUCGUUCCUAGCACCUCGAACCUCCGCAUACCAAGCAACACCCUCAGGAAGGAACGCGACGACGACGACGCUGCUGCUGCCCGGACUGGUCCUAGGGUUUCCCCCGAUACGCAGAGGGGCGUGGGGAAGGAGAAUACCCGACGCCCUUCAGGAAGGAACAAUGGUGCCCACGAGUGUUACUGCGUCGGUGCCGGCAAGCCGGGGAGGAUUUCUCCCGUCUGCCAAACACCCACAGCCUCGAACGUAGGCGCGCCACCGUCUCCGCAACCCCCCGCACAAGCUGCUCCUCCGCUCGCCGAGGCCAUCCUAGCUGAAAUUGGGCCAGGCCUGCCAAGACCCAGAUGGGUCCCAAAAGGGCCCAAAUGUGGGCCGGGAGGGCGCCGCCACCAAUCGUCGCACCAGCCCGCCACCAACCACCGCCUCCUGACCACCCAGAGAAGCGUCGCCUGGGGGCCCCCCAAAAUUCAAGGGCCCCCAAUUUGCGUCCAUGUACAUGGAACACCGCAUUCUGGACGAGAGCGGCCAGCGAACGACUUAGGUAAAAGAAGCCCAAAGAGUGCUUCGGGCAACAAGGUAAUUGAUGAUUGUCAUGAAACUAUUUUUGAAAAUGAAAAGCCAGAUUCUAAUAUUGAUGAUUGUCAUGGUGAUGAUGCAGUAGAGGUUGAGGUUGCCAUUGCAGAAAUUCAUGAAGGUGAUGAUGGUCAUGAACAUGGACUUGCCAAGCUCAGUCAAAGGAAUCACUCUGAACAUGACUUGCCACACGUACCCAUGACAAUUGGUAAACGUUUGCAAUCAAUGAGCCGGCCGAAACUGGGCGGGUCUCCUCCUCGCACAACGCACCUCCACCUGGACCCACACGACCUGCUCUCCACAGAAAUCUUAUUUCUCACCCCCCACUCGACCGCUUGCCCACUCCCCUCGACAGAAAUCUUAUCCCCACCCCCACACGAGAUCCACAUGACAUUCGCGCGGUGGCAAGCAAGCACGAGAAGACGAGGACAAGCGCGGGCAACCGGCGAGCGCACAGGAUUUGGCAUGCCCAGCGCAGGAAAAACAAGGGACGCGCCAGACUGGACGUUCGUGGACCGAACAAGCGUCAGCUCGUUUUUGAACGAUCAGUACACACCAAGAACGAAGAGCAGUUUUGUUUUUUCCCCUGUCCAGCACACCACGCUUACACGUGGAAUGCACGUCUUACAAUCAUGGAGUGAUUUUUUCUUUUGGAGAAACUUGCUGAAUGAGCAUAUGCACCCAAGUACAGAAACUCCACGUCCAACAAGUAUUGGUUUUUUAAGGCAAUUUAGCAAAUAUAGAUAUAGAAAAGACGACGACUCGCGUGGAGAUGACCUAGCCGCCUCCUCCUCUCCCUCCCUCCCGCAGCCGCCUGCCUCCCUCCCUCCCGCACGCCUCCUUUCCUCCCUCCCGCACGCCUCCUCUCCUCCCACCCACAUCGCCGCCGCCGCCACCCACCUCCUUGAACUGCACCGUCGGCGGCCAGAUCCACCGCAACAAACCCCCCUUCCCUCCCCCCCAACGAUGAUGAGCAACAGCAGAGGGAGGAUGAGGAGCACGACGACGGCGGCGGCGGAGAGCAGCAGCAAUAGGCGGCACAGCAGCAGGCCUUGGGCAAGAUUCCUCCGACCCCCGUCCUGCGUCACCUCUCCUCCGACCACGCCGCCGUGCUGCACGACGGCAAGUGGGCGCCCGCCCUCCCCGUCCUGCGAUGGCCGAGAUCCAGUUCGUCGCCCUUGUCCUUGCCUUACCUCACGUCUCCCCCGCCACCACCCACUGGCAGGAGGCCCCCGCCACUCCUCUUGCGCCUCCACCACGUCGUCGUCACUGGGAGGAGGUGCUCAUUGCCUCCGGGAAGCACCACGGCCACUGGAUCCGUUGCUACGUUCGUCGAUCUGUUCUCGUUGUUCUGGUCAGUUCUUCAUGUUCUGUCUUCGGCCAGCCCUUUGCAGGCUGACUCCUUCGCUCCCUCUCUUCUCUGCUUUCCAGGCCCAUGCUUGCAUUUUUGCGGCCAUUUUGUUUCUUUCGGUUUGGUGGUGGCCUUGGAAUCCUGUUGACUCUUGGAAACUGCUGGACCCUAUUGUUAUUCUUUGGUUCAUAAGGUCAUAUGGUUCAAUUGAUAUUCAGAAGACUUCUUCUUUGCCAAAGAUGAGCUCUUGCUCGGAACAUCAUGGCAGAUCUGUGGACGGCAUCACCACAACCAUAGAUGGUCUAAUCUCGAGGAUUUGUGUGGAGAAACCAAAAGAGGAGAAGAAGGCAGCUGAAGAGCAUGCUGCCGAAGUGAAGGGUUCUGGCAAGAAGAAAGAAAGAAUCACCGUCAUGUUGAUCAGUGAGAGCCUAUACCAUGCUUGUGUCAUGGCAGUAUUAACCCCUCCAACAUUUGGUUUCCACAUUAUUUCUUCAUUUCUUAUUUUUGGUGUGGUGUGCUGCCCCGAUAGAUUACCGUACGCAAAGACUGAAGAAUGUGAAGGCAAGCAAGAGCAGAUAGCAGUAGCCAUUCUUGAAUGUGUAACCAGUCAGCCAUUCUUCAACCAAGUAUAUGGAGAUCCAUGUUAG